rnacentral:rRNA from 1 species
GAUGAACGCUGGCGGCGUGCUUAACACAUGCAAGUCGAACGGUGAAGGCGGAGCUUGCUCUGCUGGAUCAGUGGCGAACGGGUGAGUAACACGUGAGCAAUCUGCCCCUGACUCUGGGAUAAGCGCUGGAAACGGCGUCUAAUACUGGAUACGAGCUGCGAAGGCAUCUUCAGCAGCUGGAAAGAAUUUCGGUCGGGGAUGGGCUCGCGGCCUAUCAGCUUGUUGGUGAGGUAUUGGCUCACCAAGGCGUCGACGGGUAGCCGGCCUGUGAGGGUGACCGGCCAAACUGGGACUGAGAGACGGAGCAGACGCGUACGGGAGGCAGCAGUGGGGAAUAUUGCACAAUGGGCGAAAGCCUGAUGAAGAAAAGCAGCGUGAGGGACGACGGCCUUCGGGUUGUAAAACUCUUUUAGCAGGGAAGAAGCGAAAGUGACGGUACCUGAAGAAAAAGCGCCGGCUAACUACGUG